UGGCCUACGGGGGGCUGCAGUGGGGAAUAUUGGACAAUGGGGGAAACCCUGAUCCAGCCAUGCCGCGUGAAUGAUGAAGGCCUUAGGGUUGUAAAGUUCUUUUGUCAGGGAAGAUAAUGACGGUACCUGAAGAAUAAGCACCGGCUAACUUCGUGCCAGCAGCCGCGGUAAUACGAAGGGUGCUAGCGUUGUUCGGAAUCACUGGGCGUAAAGCGCGCGUAGGCGGUUAUUCAAGUCAGGGGUGAAAUCCUGAGGCUCAACCUCAGAAUUGCCUUUGAAACUGUAUGACUGGAGUGUCGGAGGGGAUAGCGGAAUUGCUAAUGUAGCGGUGAAAUGCGUAGAUAUUAGCAGGAACACCGGUGGCGAAGGCGGCUAUCUGGACGACAACUGACGCUGAGGCGCGAAAGCGUGGGUAUCAAACAGGAUUAGAUACCCUUGUAGUCCG
rnacentral:rRNA from 1 species